UCCCUCCGUUUUUGGCAAUGGUAGAACUCACACUGGUGAGGUAACAGGAUCCGGUGGUUCUAGACUUGCCAACUAUGGGGCGAGG
rnacentral:pre_miRNA from 21 species